UACAAAAGGGAGAGUUGAAGACUUUAUAUUUACUGUUAGUGACUUUAAAAAAAAUCCAAUUCCUUUAGAUGACACUGUUGGCAGACUUUAUGAAAAAACAAAAUUGAAGCUGCUAAGGUUUUACAUUUGCACAAAAGAAGAAACAUCUUUAACAGUUCUUUCCUCAUCUGAAGUGGAUGAAUGUGGGGAAGAUUUCUUAUCUGAGGAGGAUUCUGUCAGUAUCACCAAGGAAGAGUUACAGUUGCCUAAACAUGGACCUCACACAGAGUCGGAUGAUUUUAUCACAGAUCUCGUUGACCGUGGGGAUUCAUCUGACAGUGAUAAUAGCGAACAGAAUCACGAUUUCCAGAUCCAACCAAGACCAAAAAAAAAGAGAUCAGCGUGUGAGACAGUGACAACACAUAGUCCAGGACAGUCACAUUACAUGCAUUCAACACCAACAGAAAUUAAAACAACUGUCACGGGACAGUGGCAGGGCACUGACUCAAGUGAUCAUGGUAAUGAGAAUGCUUGGAAUCAACUUCAGCUUUGCAGCGAUUUAUAUGACCACAGCUCAGGAGUUAUUGAUCUGACCAGUGCAGUCCCUAAAGAAUCCCCCCAGCUAGAGUCAGCUCACACCCAUCAUGAGGCCUCUGAAUUUGAUCCAGGUAUAGAUGAGGCUGAUACAGUUGUAUGGAAUCCCGAAGAGGACCUUGUCAGAGCCGAUGCUGAUGAGGCAGUCGUGAUAAUGCUGAAUUGUGUCAACAGUGACGAUCUAAUACAGGACAAUGGACUGAAUUUCACAGCACAAGAUUUGCCCUUGGUUUCUAGCAGCCAACUUUCCCCAUCAAAUUCAGCUGGCAACCCAGGAAAUCCAGAGAGCCCCCGACGUAUAUCUGUUCGCAGGGUAAAUGUUGUUGAAGAUCUUUUGGCUAUAUUUAUGGACAGCAGCAUAAUUACUGUGACUUUAAAGAUGGACUUUGUAAAUGAAAAAGCUGUUGAUGAUGCUGGGGUGUCAAGGGAGGUUUACACUGCCUUUUGGGAGCAAUUUUUGGAACAGUGUGAAGGUGAAACAGAACGAGUUCCAAGGCUGAGGCCAGACUUUGGUGAGGCAGAGUGGAAAGCAGUUGGACACA